UUUUUACAGGCUUAACACAUGCAAGUCGAGGGGCAGCAUGGUCUUAGCUUGCUAAGGCCGAUGGCGACCGGCGCACGGGUGAGUAACACGUAUCCAACCUGCCGUCUACUCUUGGACAGCCUUCUGAAAGGAAGAUUAAUACAAGAUGGCAUCAUGAGUCCGCAUGUUCACAUGAUUAAAGGUAUUCCGGUAGACGAUGGGGAUGCGUUCCAUUAGAUAGUAGGCGGGGUAACGGCCCACCUAGUCUUCGAUGGAUAGGGGUUCUGAGAGGAAGGUCCCCCACAUUGGAACUGAGACACGGUCCAAACUCCUACGGGAGGCAGCAGUGAGGAAUAUUGGUCAAUGGGCGAGAGCCUGAACCAGCCAAGUAGCGUGAAGGAUGACUGCCCUAUGGGUUGUAAACUUCUUUUAUAAAGGAAUAAAGUCGGGUAUGGAUACCCGUUUGCAUGUACUUUAUGAAUAAGGAUCGGCUAACUCCGUGCCAGCAGCCGCGGUAAUACGGAGGAUCCGAGCGUUAUCCGGAUUUAUUGGGUUUAAAGGGAGCGUAGAUGGAUGUUUAAGUCAGUUGUGAAAGUUUGCGGCUCAACCGUAAAAUUGCAGUUGAUACUGGAUAUCUUGAGUGCAGUUGAGGCAGGCGGAAUUCGUGGUGUAGCGGUGAAAUGCUUAGAUAUCACGAAGAACUCCGAUUGCGAAGGCAGCCUGCUAAGCUGCAACUGACAUUGAGGCUCGAAAGUGUGGGUAUCAAACAGGAUUAGAUACCCUGGUAGUCCACACGGUAAACGAUGAAUACUCGCUGUUUGCGAUAUACUGCAAGCGGCCAAGCGAAAGCGUUAAGUAUUCCACCUGGGGAGUACGCCGGCAACGGUGAAACUCAAAGGAAUUGACGGGGGCCCGCACAAGCGGAGGAACAUGUGGUUUAAUUCGAUGAUACGCGAGGAACCUUACCCGGGCUUAAAUUGCAGAUGAAUUACGGUGAAAGCCGUAAGCCGCAAGGCAUCUGUGAAGGUGCUGCAUGGUUGUCGUCAGCUCGUGCCGUGAGGUGUCGGCUUAAGUGCCAUAACGAGCGCAACCCUUGUUGUCAGUUACUAACAGGUUCCGCUGAGGACUCUGACAAGACUGCCAUCGUAAGAUGUGAGGAAGGUGGGGAUGACGUCAAAUCAGCACGGCCCUUACGUCCGGGGCUACACACGUGUUACAAUGGGGGGUACAGAGGGCCGCUACCACGCGAGUGGAUGCCAAUCCCCAAAACCUCUCUCAGUUCGGACUGGAGUCUGCAACCCGACUCCACGAAGCUGGAUUCGCUAGUAAUCGCGCAUCAGCCACGGCGCGGUGAAUACGUUCCCGGGCCUUGUACACACCGCCCGUCAAGCCAUGGGAGCCGGGGGUACCUGAAGUGCGUAACCGCGAGGAGCGCCCUAGGGUAAAACUGGUGACUGG
rnacentral:rRNA from 1 species